rnacentral:rRNA from 1 species
CGGACGGGUGAGUAACGCGUGGGUAACCUGCCUCAUACAGGGGGAUAACAGUUAGAAAUGACUGCUAAUACCGCAUAAGCGCACGGAAUCGCAUGGUUUUGUGUGAAAAACUUUGGUGGUAUGAGAUGGACCCGCGUCUGAUUAGCUGGUUGGUGAGGUAACGGCCCACCAAGGCGACGAUCAGUAGCCGGCCUGAGAGGGUGAACGGCCACAUUGGGACUGAGACACGGCCCAAACUCCUACGGGAGGCAGCAG